AGAAACAAUUUUGCUUUAACUCUACUCUAACAAUGCUUCACUCUCUCAAUAUUUCAGUUUCUCAAUUGUAGAACUCCUAUCGUUUCUUUACUUACUUGAUUAAGUGAAAUGUAUCUUAUUACUUAGCCACUAUAGGGAUACAUUUAUACAUCUUAUAGCAUUGGAUUUUGAUGCAAACUUCUUGAUCUUGAGUACUAAAGAGUUUGUUAUAUGAUUGUAAACAAAUUAUAACGAGAUUGUUUCGCAUUUCGGUGCUUAUUCAAUCAAUAUUUAGAAUUUUGUAUAACUCGCAAUACGCAGGUAUGAUCCAAUUGAAGGACAUUGCUAGGGAGUUGUCCCAAAUAAAAGGGUAAAAACUGACUUGAUGUCGGUUGUUCAGUACACACACGGACAGGAAAAGUUCGCCUUAUGGUGUAAGGAGUCUUUGACCAGAGAUAUCGGAAAAGUUAGCAUAGUUAUAACUGCCUUGUGACGGCCGAACGUUCAUAGUGACGUCGCUUUUUGAUCCUUUGAUGUCGGCUCUUCCUAUCAUUUCGAAACAAAGCCCACCAAGCAUUGGAUUGUUCAUCCAUACAAGGAAACGUGAGCUAAACCCAGCGCACCCAACCACCGGGAGAGGGAUUAGUU
rnacentral:ncRNA from 1 species